AUGAAUCUUGCAUUGUAGAUUAGAGAAUUGAAGGUGAAAUCUCCCUACUUUUUAUUCCAGAUUAGAGUAUUGCAGCCACCAGGCACUGUUUUACAAAAUUGAACAGGAGGAGGAUUUGAAUAUGAUGAUGAUGUCAAAAGGAAGAUUUGGUGGCAAUACAAGGUGUAUUCCUUUUAGGCUUAGAGAUACAGAGAAGUAGCGGUGGCAUGUCUGAGAAAAUCAUUGAAGUGCUUACGCUAAACUCAAUUAGUGGGCUUUGUCUUCUUUUCCGUAAAGGAAACAAUGCAAAUAAUUAAAGAACUUGGACAUUUUGGUGGGUUCUUAGAUACUGCAUUCUUGAAAACGACAUUAGUAGAAGAAUUUCAACAAAUGGAGAGUUGGUAUGCCAUUCUUCCCUCUCUAUUCUUGUUUUUUAAGAUUCCUAUCAUUGUUUUUGAAGCAUCACUAGGCAUUGUGACUCUAUAGGUAUUUGCUUGCAUUGUUCUCUCCUCACUAACAAUUAUUGUUGAGAGGGCAAGGUCUUAUGCUUGGAUAAUUGGUCUUUUUGCAUCCACAGAGUUGUCACUUCAACGAGCUAUUCUUCAUUUUGAAUGUUAAUAGAAUAUAUAUGUUGUUGUGUCUUUAGGUAUUUAAAUAUUUUGAG